CGGAACUACACGGCUGAACCAUGGAUGUAUGACAAAGCGCAUAGUACCUACAACUACUUAUUAUUGUCAAGUAACGUCGAAAAAAAUAUGUAAAAAAUAUCAACAAGUUUUAGUUUCAGACUAGUACUCAUUGUAAAUUAGCAGGUUUUAUAAAAAGCAAAUCAUAAAAAUGCAGGGGUUUCAACAAUCGACCAUAGACGGAAGAGUGAUCAAUUUCAUUACUGUAAUCUGCGUUUUUUUUCCUUCACUUGCCAUAAGAACUUGGACGUAGUUCCCACAGGCUACCACAUCGCAGAUGCUUCUCGUACCCUGGCCGAUUGACGAAGCAGACAAAUGGAAGCUGCAGCAUUUGGCACACCCAGCAAACUGUGUCUGAUGAGUGUAGUUGCGUUAUGCGGUAUCUGUUUGGACCAUUCCGUUGCUAAUUCCGAUACUAGCGCAAAGUAGAAAGAUUGAAACUCAUCGGUUCCAUUUCGGGGGCGGUCGGGAGUGCCAGCAUUUGACAUGGCACUGCGUUGGUAUUCCGGAUCGUUCAGAGCCAUCAACUUUACCAACAACGCUUUUUUGGCUUUCUAUGGCGUAGUUUUCAACACUCGAUAAAGUAAUGGUUUUGCUGAAGAAACUCUAUUGAUCACAUGAAUCUCUAAAUCAAUCAUAGUACGUACGAUAAUGAAACAUACCGAAGACUUAUCUUCGUAUGUCCUUCUCUUUUCAGGUGAAUGAAUUUGAUUCAUUCAGGGUUGUUGAGUAUGUGGCAACAAUCUUUUCGGUGAAAGAUGGCCCAUACCAACCCAUAAUUGUCCGGCACUGAGAUUAAAUCUCCAUUAUAUUUUAUGUGCAAAAAUCAGAUAAAACGGCUUCUAGGUGUAGUAGAUAUAGAUUUCAUUAGAAAUAUGAGGUAAAAAUAUGAGACAUGACUUAAAAAUGUUUAGCGUGUACGUCGCCUAUUUGAAACCUGCUAUAAAAUAUGAAAAUAAAAAUGAUGCCGCGCGAAAUAAUUAUGGCAGUCUUCCUCUGCAGCGCCGGAUGUUUCAAAUGAGAUUUCGGGAUAUGAUUGGGCUCGGGACCCGAAAUUUGGGUGGAGACGAAUGCUUGGGCUCAAAGACAGACACGAAGUGAGCAGGGCGUUCGGCUUUUGAUCGCAUAGGAACGCAUUGCAAGCGGCCAUCGAGAGUGUGAAAAGGAAGAAGAGCGUGUGCCUACUCCGCGUCCUGAGGACAGCGGCUUACGAAGCUAAACACGAGUGCGUGGAUCGGUACCGAAGCGUUGCCGUCUAGGGUUCAUUGCCACUGCCGUGAUAUGAUUAAAUCAGUCUACUGGAGAAUUUUAGAGCGAUUAGUCGCACUUUUAAGGAGUGAAGAAAAUUUGGCCAGCUUAAUUCGGCUGAUACCGUCCAAACCAGGUUGCGUCACGACAAUGGCGUAGUUCACGCUCCCGUAAGUAUUUAAUUGGUGAUAUAAGCUGGUUAUAAGGUGAAAAAAUACGUUCAGGAAUAACGCAAGCGGAAUGCAAUUCCUAACAAAAUGGUGGUCAAGCCACGUGGAUCGAAAUUUGGUGUGGGUCAUUUUUAUUUUGAGUUUUUGGUGGCAGACAUUUACGAUACAAAGAAAGUGAUAUUAAAAAUGGAUGUGAAAUUUAUUCAAUUAUUGCAACAAGGGAAAAGUUUCCGAAAUUGUCUAAAAUGAGAAAAAAAAA